UUGACCUCGGAUCAGGUAGGGAUACCCGCUGAACUUAAGCAUAUCAUAGGCGGGGGAGGGA
rnacentral:rRNA from 1 species